ensembl:ncRNA F14F3.12 ncRNA
AUUAAACGCUUAUUGUUUGAUUGAUUACAAAUGAAUUUAAUAGUAGUUGUAGUUGAAAAAGCAGGAACUUGAAACUAUGUUGCCCAUGCUUGUUCAUAUUCGAUGCACUUCGAAUUGUA